CCGAGUUAGGGUCGCCUCCGCGCGCCCGACCUCCAACCCUUUGUCUACCCGACCUUAUUGUUGCUUCGGCAGGCCCGCCGCCCCUCCGGGGGUGGCCGCCGGGGGCUUUACCGCCCCGGGCCCGCGCCUGUCGAUGGCCCCAACCACAAACUCUUGUACUUAAACGUGUCGUCUGAGUUAACAAACAAAAUAAAACA
rnacentral:misc_RNA from 1 species